GAGUUUGAUCAUGGCUCAGAUUGAACGUUGGCGGCACGCCUAAUAUAUGCAAGUCGAACGAGAAAGCACCUUCGGGUGUGAGUACAGUGGCGGACGGGUGAGUAACGCGUAGGAAUCUACCUAGUAGUGGGGGACAACUCGGGGAAACUCGAGCUAAUACCGCAUAAUAUCUACGGAUCAAAGUGGGGGAUCUUCGGACCUCACGCUAUUAGAGGAGCCUGCGUUGGAUUAGCUAGUUGGUGGGGUAAAGGCCCACCAAGGCGACGAUCUAUAGCUGGUCUGAGAGGACGAUCAGCCACACUGGAACUGAGACACGGUCCAGACUUCUACGGAAGGCAGCAGUAGGGAAUCUUGGUCAAUGGGCGCAAGCCUGAACCAGCGAUGCCGCGUGUGCGAAGAAGGCCCUAGGGUUGUAAAGCACUUUCAGUCGCGAAGAAAAGCUCAGAGUUAAUAACUCUGGGUCUUGACGUUAACGACAGAAGAAGUACCGGCUAACUCCGUGCCAGCAGCCGCGGUAAUACGGAGGGUACGAACGUUAAUCGGAAUUACUGGGCGUAAAGCGCGCGUAGGCGGUUUGUUAAGUGGGAUGUGAAAGCCCCGGGCUUAACCUGG
rnacentral:rRNA from 1 species